AAAAUAAUGAGUAUAAAAAAAGAAUCAGCUGUGAAAAUGCUCGUUGGUUGAAAUCCGGAGGAAUAAUUGGCGGAGAAUAGAGCGGUAGACGGCGCUAGUGAGGGGUGCGGCGGUGAUAACGCAAACUACCCCAGCCGGGUCGAGACAGCGAAACGCGCCCGCGCGUUUUAGACAUUCUAAGUGGGAGAGCGAGAGAAAGAGAGAGAAAAAACGUCAGACGGUGUGUUAUCGCGGCUCGGAUAGUGAAAGAAAACGAAUCACCGAAGCAGUCACGCCAGUUAUGGUGAAAGAGAAACAGAACGAGAGCGAGGCUUGAAGUGUCGUGUGUGACAAAACUAUAUGGUAUACGUAUGCUUUGAAGCGGAGAAAAAAAAACAAGAAUAAGGGAAAGAGUGGCUAAAGCCAAACGGUUUUUUUCGAACACUUUGUUCGACUCGUGAUAUACAAAGUCGAAGGGGACAGAGAAGACACGAAAAGUCGUACCAACCGUUCGGACAUCGGAGAAAGGAUAUACUACUGGGGAUUUUAUGGGUGUGGAGUGAAAAAACCGUUGUUGAAAGAAUACAAGAAAAAAUAUGAAUUACUCGCCGACAUGUUUGUCGUGAUCUCAAACAAGCUCGUAUCCCAUCGAGCACAAUAGACUCAGAUAAUUGUGUGUGGGAGCAAGUGCGCGCGUGUAUAUACGUACGAGCUGCAACAAUUUUCGCGCGAGCGUGAACUCUGCAGUAAAAUUCUAUCAGUGCGGGGAGAUAUUGAAACCGAUGACCGUUUAAUCGGGAUCGUAGUGGUGAACAAAAACCGAAAGUGCUUUUCUCUCAUUUAUUUUUCUACCUAGGGAAAAGUAAUGAUCACUCGGUGGUAAAAAUCCGUCGGGUACUCGAUUCGUAACGCCGUUGAACUCGUCCGUCUGCGGCUGCAACCGUUUUCUCCGUGUUUCGUGUGUUUUCUCACCAGGGGCCGUGACAAACGCCAUUGCGUACUCCACCGAGCUUUUUUCCUGUCGCUUUCCCCCGCCGUCUCCCAACGCAUUUUCGUGUGCUCUUCGAGCGCGAUUAUCGAAAAGUAACGUAAUUGUCGCAACGCUCGGAGCUGGUAUUUUUAUUUCACGACCGGGCCAUAUAACUGGGUAAUGAUUUUUUUUUUCACUCAACGUUCAUCGACGUGCGGUUAACGAAGGAUAUACGAGAGUUCGUGCGUAAGUGCAGUGUGUCCGUAAAUGUGUGCGAGUGACGAGAUGCAUCAAAUUUACGAAGCACCACGGAAAUAAAUUGACCGUCGGAGCGAGGGAGGAGAGCGAGAGAGAGAGAGAGAAAGAGAAAAAAGUCUGUCUUUCGAGAGUCGACGAUAUUUUGCCACAUCUUUCAAGUGACACACAAAGAAGUUACAAGUGCUGGGGGGAAAUUAUGAUUGUGCGAAGAUACAAAGAGGCAGCUAAAUUGUGAAAUUUUAUUGUAACAACGCGAAUGAGCAUCGAAUACGUGCUCCGUCAAUUUUUUUACACCGUUUUGAAUCCUAAUUGUUGAAGCAGUUAGAGUUUCGCUGUGAACUUGAAGAAGCUGAAUGUACGCAGAGGAGAUUCGUUGAGCAGACGCCACGAAUCUCAAGAAAUUUGUCGAAUUCGUGAAAACUAGACGAACGAGAACAGUGCAAACACUCGUUUCUUUUCUUCCGUCUCUCACUUUUCUCUCUCUCUCUCUCUCCCCCCCCUCUCUCGCUCGCUCUUUCUCUGUCUUUGGUUAAUGUCGGAGGGUUUAUCUCGGCCACCUGUGGGGUAAAUCGGUCCUGGUGAAAUUCGCCCCUCGAAGGAGAGAGAGAGAGAGAGAGAGAGAGAGAGAGCGAAAAGGCACAAAGGGUGCGCUCGCGGGUUUCUCCCGAUCCCCGAGCUCUCUCCAGGAGUAUUGGCCGGGAGAGCGAGCGAGAAAAUAUCGAAGCAAUCCCAUGGGUCACGAUAGAGGGAGUCCUGAGAAAAAAAUAAGCUGGGUGGAGGCUCUGCGACGAGGAAAAGAAAGAGAAGGAAUAAGUUUUCUCUGGCGCGAGCUGUCGCGAAGAAAAUAAAAAUACGCGAGCGCGAGUCCCUUCGGAGAAUAAAAAAAGUGUUAAAACCACGGGAAACCGAAGCAGCCAAUUCUUUUGUUUAAUUUCACAAGGGAUACCAAGAACUCGAGAAUAUUCGCGGAAGACCCUCGACGGUCUCGACCAGCAGCGAGGAGGUAGCCUGAGAAAUAGCAACAUUACGAAGGAUUCGACGAAAAUUUGAAGCGCCGAAGAAUGCGAGAGCCCCCUCCCCACGACCCGUGAUCAUGAUUCUCCGUACGGAUGUGACGAGCGAUAUACGUAAGCCGAGAAAAAGCUACGGUGAGGCCGCUGCCGCUCGCCCUACGGAGAAACGAAAGCCCCUCAGCGCCGAUGCGAACCUCGACCGGUCACGAGGUCUCAAAUCUAACCUAAAAAAUAACAGAAACAAGUCGAACAAAGACGCCUUCGCGCUGUCGAAGGAUAAUACGAGAAGUGAGAAUAACAAAGUGAGAAAAGAGGAGGAGGAGGCGGAGGACGACGAGGACGACGAGGACGACGAGGACGAGGAGGAGGAGGACGAGGACGGCGAGGGGAGAGCGAUUGCAAGCAGAAAAAUAGUAGAAAAUUGGAAAAAAUCCUACAUUUUCUCGUAUUACCAUUCUUUCCUGAAAAGUCACAAAAGCGCCAAUAGCCAUCGAUCUUUCGCGACGAAAUACCGAUCUUCGGACUCCCAUUCUCGCGUAAUUAUCGAACGAGACAAGAGAGGCUCGAAGCUCCCUGAGCUCGCUCGAGGGUCACGCGCUCGCUCGAUCUUUUUUAAUCGGCAGAUCGAGGAAGCGUCCACGCUCGAAGCGGGCGGAUGACUCGCUCAGGACCAGGACGUCCCGUAGUCGUAGACGUUCCAGUAGCCUUUCCUGGGCCCGUUCUCAACGAAUACCGCCGCUCUUCUACGUCCAACCGACGCUUUUUCUCCCUCCUCUUCUCACUCUUAUUAUUAUUAUUAUUAUUAUUAUUAUUACUACUCUCAUUACUAUCGUCGUUAUCCUCCUCACAAACUUCCCUUCGAGAGGAUCCAAUAAUCCCCAGGCAAUUGCUCGUCGCUCCUUCCCGACGCUACCCCAGACCUCCUCGAUCCACAGUUUUUUAUCCCACUCGUCGCUCCUUCGAUAACUUCGGAUUUAUCGAUAGCCUCGGUAGCGUCCUCCUCGGAAUCGGCUCACCGUGAUGGCGGACCUACCCGACAUGUCGCAUCUCACUCCCGAGGAGCGACGCAUCAUCGAGGGUGUUAUGAUGCGACAAAAACAGGAGGAACAACGCGAAAAUGAGAUCAUGAGACGAAAGCAGGACGAGGUCCAAGUGCUCGAGGAAACGAUACGUGCACGCUCGGAGCAACACAAAAAGUCGGGAAUAGAGCUCGACGCCACGUGUCAGAUAUGCUCAAAGACCAAAUUUGCGGAUGGCGUCGGUCACAUCUGUAACUACUGUAACAUACGAUGCUGCGCCCGGUGCGGUGGAAAGGUUACUCUCCGAUCCAACAAGGUGAUAUGGGUGUGCAUCGUCUGUCGGAAGAAACAAGAGAUUUUUCUAAAGACCGGACAAUGGAUGAACAAAUCGGGACUCAACGCCGCGGACACUGCUAUGCUCAGAAGAAUGCAGGAGGACAUGCAAGGACCCGGUAUUCCAGGACAUCCAGAACUGACGCAGGAUAAAAGGCCAAAAUUGGAGAGAGCUCACAGUGCUGCCGAGAAAGAAAAUUUGCCACUGGUACAGAGGGGCGCUUGUACCCUGAUAAGGCAGUACUCCCAACAGGACCAGGUGUCCGGACGCCGUAUGUCGACCAGCGACAGCGGGGUGGAGAUGUCAGUGUCGCCUCACUCGAGGAGCUUGCCGACUCCACACGUCGUCGUUGGUUCUUAUCCUCAGACACCGAGACAUCCGGCUGCCUAUCCUGAAGACGAUCCGAGCCUCUAUCGGGGCGAACUCGAUAACCUCAUGCGACAACACGCUCAGACUUACCAGAGGCCCGUGUACCAAGAUUCCGAUAUACCGAUGACCUACGGUCAUGCGGGAGUGGAGAACGUUCCUCGAGCGAUGCACGGAUCGCAGCAGCAGCAGCAGCAGCACUCGAUACACGGCGGGGGACAAGUCGGACAUCCCUCGCAGAGUUUGGGUCCACCGGGCAGCGGAGGAGGGGGAGGACAGAAUGUUCUCCAUCAGCAGCGAAGUUUCAGCAGUAGCGAGGAGGAGAGAAGUACACCGGAUUGCGCGAGUGACGAGCCCGAUGAAUCCGAGAAGGGAAAGGGGUACUUCCAUCACGGCGGUGGACCUGCUUCGAUGUCCGGUGGUUCUCGUAGACACGGUUCUCACAACGGUCAUCACGUCACCGGGGCUAUGACCAUCGAGUAUAACGGUCACCAUCCACCCCGAGAACCUCGAAAAGAAGAGAGUACUCUCGUACGAAGGAGCUUCAGAAGAAGCGGCGACGAGUGGCGAGCCGACAGCCGGAGGUUCACUGAACGAAGGGGGAAAAAAACGGUCAGAUUCGACGGUGGGACGAAUGUCGGUGGUAAUGAUGGCGGUAGCCACGAGGAUUGGUCCUGGGAGGCGGAUCGCCAGGGUAGUCAAGACAGCGCGACCAAAGAUUCCGGUAUAGACACCUCAAGCACAUUCACCAGCAGCGAAGACAGCAAUCGUGGCGACCUGCCCAAGCAACCACUUUCGUGGCAAGGAAGCAGUGACGGCCAAAAAAUCAUCGGUCACAUGAUCCUCAGAAAAUCCUCUGGUUCAGGGAGCAGCAGUAGUAUUCUCGGACUGAAGGUCGUCGGUGGAAAAUUAUUGGAGAACGGCUCGAGGGGGGCGCUCAUCGAGAAAGUUAAGAAAGGCAGCACAGCGGACGUCGAGGGUCAAUUGAGACCUGGUGACGAGGUUUUACAGUGGAACGGUCGAUCUCUUCAGGGAAAGAGUUUUCAGGAGGUGAACGACAUAAUAAUGAAAUCGAGAGAAGAGCCGCAGGUCGAAUUGAUAGUGUCGAGAAAUUUGUCGGGGACAUCGACGGCAGCGAUGUUGACCGGUGUACAGACGACCGUGCCAGCCUCGGCGAUAGGUACCCCGAGGCGAAUCACAGUUCAGACUCAAUGGCGUCAGAAACACGAACCGAUGCCGAUACCUCAGCAGCCACAUCACAAAGAGUUGUACGACGCCAAAAGGGACAAACCUUCCGUACUUGUGACGUCACCGGGCUCGCCGGAUCUUCACGCCCAGGGGAGAGGACGACAUCUACGAAAUCCACCGAGUAACGCGAACGUGGGUGGCACACUACAGGUGAAACUCGGUUUCGAUCCGGUGGCACUGCAGCUCAUCGUAAUACUCGUAUGCGCGGCCGCGCUCACACCCAGAAGCAACGGACAGCCCAGAAAUCCAUACGCCAAGAUAUUUCUACUGCCGGACAAGAGCGAAAAAUCGAAGAGACGGACGAAGACCUUGGCAAAUACGAACGAUCCAAAGUGGAACCAGUCCUUUAUUUACAAUAUGAGGCGUUCCGAGCUCAGGCACAGAUCUGUGGAAAUAACCGUCUGGGAUCUGGUCAAAUAUGGGGCGAAUGAUUUUCUUGGCGAAGUUAUAAUCGACCUUGCCACAUCGUCGUUAAACGAAAAACCAGAGUGGCAUUAUUUGUUGGCACACGAGGAACAGCGACAUGCUGGGUAUUAUACGGAUCCAAUCGACGAUAUAGUGAUAACACCAGUGGACUGUCAUUUGAGUCCACCUUCGACGACCUCGAGGUUGAGUGACUCGGACACGUCCGAAUGUGAUAUAACCGACUGCGACGUAUCCAGGGAACAAAGAAGAACGGCCGAUGGGGCGAGUCUGAGCAGCAGGGGUAGUUCGUCCAGGUUUCAUAAUAUGCCGUCAAAUUAUAAGCGCCACUAUUCCAGUCCGCCGCCCGAAAGAGAUUUGUGCAUGGACAACGAGCACAGAAGUCGAAGGGACAUGUCGCCGCAGGGACGAAAAAGGGCGGCGCUCAUGAUUACUCGCGAUCAGCCGGUCUCCAUUGCCGGCUAUCAAUCGUACAGGAAGGAGGACUCACCGAGAGGAAUGAUGGGUCACAGAUCGCACAGUGCAGCGCCAAUGGACUCGCCGAAUAUUCGUUACCGCGGAAGAUCGCAGAGCCCAACGGGUCAUCGUUCGCUCUCACCUCCGGAGCACAGAUCCAUCCCUUAUCCUCAUGGCUAUAUGCCACCAAGAUUCGGCUCGAGAUCGGCGACCGCGACGCCAACCGGCUCACCGAAGAAACGACAACUGCCCCAAAUACCGGCCAAUUUACACGCCGCCCUCAAAGAGCGGGUCACUCAGGAUCUCGAGGAGAGAGCGAGGUUCAUGAGGCACCGAAAUCGGCAGGUUCACACGACUUACAGGAGCACCGGGAUGGGAGGCUGGGAGAGACACUACAGCGGCCUUUCGGACUCCGAUCUCCCCUCUAUGGGCCAAGACCCUUUGUCGCUCUCGCACACCACCUACGUUCACCGGAUGCACAGAUCGAGAAGGGGUCACCUCAGUCCGGACAAGGACGUUCUCGGUGAUCUCGGUGAUUCGGACAUGGAGAGCAACGCCUCUGUGACGAGUAGCGUUUUCAGUACCCAAUCCGAAAGACCACGAGGAUCCAGAGCCUUAAUACCGACAGUUAAAAACGUAUUGAUACCCGGUGUCAUAUCCCCAAUGCCCCCACCCCCUAGGCGCAAUAGGCGCAGGCACAGAAUUAGGGUACCCUGCAGCGAAUGUCAUUGUCCAACAUCAGCAAAGAGCAACAACAACAAGAGCAGCAGCAGCAGCAUCAUUAUUAAUUCCACAAAGUCCCGAAGCAACCAAACCGUUAAGCACAAUCCUACCCAUCACCCAUUAGUACGGAGCAAGUCCGCAGUCGUACGCUCGCUGUAUAGAAAGAUGAGAACGCCGUUCACGAGGUCGCAGACCGUCGACGAGAACCUCCUGCGUUACUACAGUCCCGAAACGAGCGAGUACACCGUAUCCGAGGGUUACAUCCUCAAGCCCGAGAAACUCGUUGGGAAGACGAAAAAUCGUCGUAUACCCGAGAUCUACGUGGAGGAUUGCCUCCAGGUCAAUUUCGCUGACGGACUGUUGGACAAAUUUCGCAAUUCGAGCGCCGGCCGUUCGAAUCACGCUGCUCUUCCUGCCCCCUUCUACAACGCGUACGAGACGAUGAGAAAGAGCACCAAUAGGAGCGCCGCCCCCACGACCGCUUCCUUGUCGCGGCGUUUGCCAUCCGGAUGGAAAGAACCUUUGGAAAAUUCCAUCGUCUCGAGAUCGAAGCCGUUUGGAACGGUGAACCCCUCCUCCCUCACCACCUAUCCGGCGGAUUACGAGCUCAAAAAUCUCAUCACCCGAUCGUCCACGAUCCCGAGACGCUCGCUCCUCAGCUCGAAAGCUCGGAGCUUCGAUUACAGCGUCAUCAGCAACGACGAUCCUGCCUUCUCGAGCGGGAGUCUUCGCGGCGACGCCGCACCGGGCUCCUUUCUCUCUCGACGCGCCAAGAGCUUCGAGUACGAAACCGUUUCCAGCAACAUUUUCAGUGACGACAGUCUGCGAACCGCCAGACGUAAAUUCAAACAAAACUUGUCCAUCAGCGACUCCAAGUACGGAGACAAAAUACCUGCUCUACGGGAUCGUAGCAAAUCUUAUUACGACUCCAACGGGGACAACGAAUUGCGAAAAACUCUCGCUGCCAAUGCCCUCGUCAGGUACACCGAUUUCGAGGAUCCUCAGGCCCAAGAAAAAUUCUACAGCUCUCACCUCGACUCGCACCUCGGCCCCGCUCGGAUGGACUACUUCGAUUCCUUGGACACUCGGGUUCCUCCUCUCGCUCACGAACGUCCGAGCUCCGUUCUCGCUCGCGAGGACAUCGGCAAAAGAAAGUACGUCGAUUCGUCCUACCGCUCGCCGGACAAACGAACGAAAAGCUUGGAGAACGAAGUCUACGGAAACCGGGAGAUAAACGACCACGUUUAUUGCAGCAUCGACGAAAUCAUUCUCCCGGAAGAUCCCUGCCCGUGCAGACUCGUAUCUUCCAGCAGAUCUACCACCCUCGAUCUUCUCGAUCGAAACGAUUACGCAGCUAGACGUCACGUCAAACCUCGUAGAAGAGCCAAAAGCACCGAUUCUUAUCUCGAAGACGAAUACGAGAAUUGGGAGUUGGCUCCCGGCUACGAAUUCGAAUAUCCGCCGUUGGACGACUCGAGAAUUCCAAUUUUAGACGUCGAGGGCUACUACGAGGAGGAGAAGAGCCUUAAAAAACCGAGAAGCUCAAGGAUCCAGGGUGAAAUAUUGCGGGAUCGAAUAAUCGACGGUUACGAUUCGUACAACGAGCCUGUACAAUUUUACGCGGACGAGUCGUUGAGUUAUCGGGACGACCAGGAAGACGUGAUCGGUAGCGAGAGUUACGAGGACUCGUCGCAGGCAGCGCGCCGAAGAAGACGACGAAGGUUUCGGGAUAAUGUAAUCGUCGACGAGGCGACCGAGGCCGACAUCGAGUACGAAAAUUUUCCGAUAAAUCAUAAAAACACUCUGACGGUACCGAGCUUAUCGCAGAGCAAGAAAAUGAUGAUCGGCCGAGCCGAGUCAACGCCGAUACUCCCCCACGACGAGGAUUACGCUCUCGCCGAAGAAAGAAUGACGAGACGAAUGUCGAGAAGGAGAAGAAACAGUAGUUGCCCGGAGAGUCGUGAGCUCGUGGUCAACGGGAGCUGCAACUCCACCGAGGUUAGGGCCGAAGAAGAACCUUGCGGUUUUUUCAUCGAUUCGGACGAGGAAUUUGGCUCGAUGGAGACGGUCAUAGGGCCGAAUUACGGAGACUCGACCGCUCGCAAAGAAACUCGGAUCUCCAGCGAUUCCCGUCCCCGGUACGAGGAGGCCGUUGAGAAUGCGACACGCGAGGAGGUGCCCGUGGAAAGCUAUCGAGCCAUGAGAAGCGAGAGAUCGGAAUCAUUUUCCGGCACGACGAGGCGCUACCGGGAAGAGGAUGACGACGACGAUUUUUCCUCGGGCUAUCAGUACCGUAGACGAAAAAGUAGUUGUCCCGAGUGCCGGGAAUUGGCGAAUUUAAGCCUCGACGCUAAAUCAAGUAUUCUCUCUUCUUCGAGACGCGAUCAAGAUUACCCCGAGGAUGCUUACAAGUAUCGUAGACGAAGGAGAAGAAGAAACAGCAGUUGUCCCGAAGCUCGGGAGAUGGAACUGUACGAGGAAGAAAGAAGACCCGCCAAUAACAUAAAUCAGCAGCAGCAGCAGCAGCAGCAACCGCCGCAGCAACAACAGGGUAGUAAAAGAAACGUGGCUAUAAGCGACACCCUCGAGUAUUACGAAUACUCGAUGGAGAGCGAGAGCCAGUGUAGCGAAAACUGCGGAUUUGGCCCGUACGAUUCCCUUAGGCCCCGUAACCGAGCAGCACCCCGCCCCGGUAACGCUAAUUCAAAUAUCUUUGAUUCCCAAAAAACCGCUACCUCCGACACUGCUAAAAACCCACGGGCCACCGACGACGACCAUCAUCAUGCUCAUCAUCAUCGCGACCACCAACGAUAUCGUCACGAAAAUCAACGGGAUUAUACGAAACAACGUAACGACGCGUACGACCGAUACAACGACAACGACCGCGACCGCAACCACAACGACGAAAAUCCUUCGUCCGCUUCAACGAAAAACGUUGACGAAACGGAUAACAAACGCGACGUCGAUCAACCGCAACGCCGCUCGUCGCAACGGAAAAAAAUCAACGAUAACGAUGACCAAACUAAUAUACGGGACACUGCGAAACACAACGACCUUAACGAACGACGAUCAUCCUCGAUGCCGGAAAGCAGUGAGUACGCCAGUCAGGGAAGCUCUUAUGAGAAAAACUCGAGACACAUCCCCGCUGGAAAUGGUCACAAUGGUCACACCAAGAGGGGACAGUUUACCAGGAGUUUGAGCAACGCCGAUGUUCCGCCUGACGAAAAAGUUGAUGGGAGUCUCAGUGACACCGCCGUUGGUUUACACCCGGAGGACAACGCACGGAGGGGUCGUAAGAGUUCACCGAGCAGUAAAAGCGGAAGCGGUAGUAGUAGCGGCGGCGGAAGUGCGUCGCAAUACCAAACGGGCCUUGGGAAGAAGAGCAACAGCACGAGCCAACUAUCAGCGACAGAAUGCGGAGUGACCGGAAGCGGUGGCGUUAUGGCGGAAUCUCGCGGCCCUUCCGGUUUAUCGUCCAGAAAGCGUAACAGCACGCCGAGCAGUUUUCAACGCUCCCAGGAGGUUGUACCGACGUAUCAGCGGCUCGGUACGGGCAAACAGAACACGAGCGGUGCCUCCAUCUCCAACGACACCGCCGGAAGUCUCAACUCGAUCUCGAGUUCCGAAGCAAGCUCUUGGUCGCCAAGCCGAAGAAUGGCCGGGGAGGGCGGUCAGUUGAGCGAGUUCAUCGACGGCCUUGGACCUGGCCAAUUGGUCGGACGACAAGUUCUCGGGGCUUCGUCCCUCGGCGACGUUCAACUUGCCCUCAAACAUACCAAAGGAUACCUCGAAGUCGAGGUCGUACGGGCUCGAGAUCUUCAGGCUAAACAGGGCAGCAAAAUUUUACCAGCACCCUACGUCAAAGUAUACUUGGUCAACGGAAAAAAGUGUAUAGAAAAAGCGAAAACGACCACAGCCAGACAAACGCUCGAUCCUUUUUAUCAACAACCAUUGGAGUUCAGGCAAAACUUUCAAGGCUGCAUUCUACAGGUCACAGUCUGGGGUGACUACGGUCGCUUGGAGGGGAAAAAAGUAUUCAUGGGAGUCGCGCAGAUAAUGCUGGACGAUCUUAAUCUGAAUGAGAUGGUGUUCGGGUGGUACAAGCUCUUUGGCACGACGUCCCUGGUCAGUGGUCCUCCUUCCCUCGUCUUAUCACGACGUUCCUCAGCCGCUUCCCUAGAUUCCCUCAAACUUUAAUUCAUCUCAAAGAAAUAAUCGGAAUACAAAAGAAACGAACGUGAUCGAGAUUGAAUUUGAAAACAAUCAGCUCUUAUCGUACCAAUCGAAUAUCGGCAUUGAGCUCAAUCGUUCGAGGCUUCGAUCGUGAGCCCGUGCGCGCACUAAAAUCAUCACCAUUUUCGCACUGGCGACACACCAAGUUCGUCUAUUCAACGACAGACACUGAAAAUGAGAGAAGAACAAACAUAAAUCUACGGCUCUGAAUACGGUUUCUAGAGAGAAGAUAAUAUUUUUAUGUUCGCUGAACGCGUGUGAUAAAGAUUGUGGCUUAUUGAUCGUUCGCCAACUCUGUUGAUUCAUAUGUUCCUUUAGAGAGAUGACGAUCGAAACAGAACGAAAGAAAAAUCAACGUGAAAUAAACAAUAAUUAAUAAUGGUUAAUACGAAGCUAUGUUGUUGCCAGCAGAGCGUCUAUGGUUUUCAGCACAUUUUCAAAUACCUUAAAAACACACACAACGUUCACAACGUUUUCUAUUGAAUAAAGGUAUUCCGCGAAACCGAUGAAGAUAGUAUAUUAAUAAUGCGAAAAAACAUGUUGAAAACCGUAUUCGGUCAUUUCCACGGUGAAGGGUCUUAGGACCAUAGGAAUUUGACUAGCACAUCACAUAUCAUGUACGGAAAUGAGAUCGAGCUACUAGUCCGUUAUGUAGACUAGCUGUAGACGUAGCGGCCAUGUUUCCGGAGCGCCACAUAGCUUUAGUGAAACCAAAGGAGUUCGAGUGAACCGCAGGCCGACAUAAACUCGAACGUGGUGGUGUGUUGGGACAACGGAGUGUGAAUCGCCGCAGGAAACAAACGAGAAGAAGACGAAUGCAACGUAAAGAGACAUUACAAUGGCGUUUUUUGGUGGAUUUUGAACAGUGCGAUCGAUGAGAGCGCGAUAUCGAAGGAGAAAGAGCGAGAGAGAGAGAGAGAGAGAGAGAGUUUCGUUGACGAAACGAUGAAAUUAAUUUUCGAUAAAUCGGUCCAAGUGGGAUUUGAUGAAAAGACUUGAAUAAUAAAAAAUAAAAAUACGUGACAGACUCGACUAAAAUAUUAGGAAUGUAAUGAUAAGCGUCGGUGAAGAAAAAAAAAUCACGACACGAACUAUAAAUAUAUACAUAUAUACAUAAACAUAGAUAUAAAAAUAUGAUGAGACGUUACUAUAUUUGUAUAUAUUAUUGGACACGCCGUGCAAGGGUUUUUAAAAUCUAUAGAACUCGUUUAUUAUAACUGCUGAAAUUGUCAGAAAUAAGAUUUAAAAACGUAAAGAAAAGAAGAAAAAAACACUGAAAUAAUAGCAGGGAAAGUUCGAGACAGUUUUUUUUCUCGUGGAGCGAGAUUUUUGUCGCGUCAUCGAACAUCGUUCACCUCAUCGAUUUAAAUAACGAAAAAAGGGAAUAAGAAAAAAAAUAUUUACGUUGAUCGGUUGAUGUAUAAUCGUCGAAUGCGUGUAUACCUGCUGUAAAUAAUUGUAUAACCUAAGUCGAUUGGGUAUGCGCGCACAACGAGUUUGAAUACGUGACUGACGACGAGAAAAAGGGAGAGGAAUACCGAUCGAACGCCCUUUACGUUCCGUGUCUUAUACCACGACAUGAAAAACAAACAAAACAUUAGCUUUCUUAUUUUAUUUAUUCAUUUAUUAAUCCACUAGCUUUCAUCGCGAUCCGAGCCACGAACCGCCAAAUCUUUUUUCACUUUGUCAAAUCUCUACACAGCUAAACAUCAUUUUUUGCAAUACAGUUUAUUUUUCAUAAAAAAAAAUAAAAUUAUCUGAACACGCUUUGAUUUGUUCUAGCUUCAAACUCAUUUCUACUCAUCGAAUAAAUCUUCAAUUCGAGACACAUUAUUUUCUCGUUUGCUGCAAAAUUUCCAGGUGUCACGGAUGCUCCUCGAUCGUUUCGAUCAAUAAAAUCGUUAAGUUUUGACUUUUUUUUAAAUCCAUUUUGCGAGGUAUACUUGACAGUUACGAAGAAGCAAAAGGAGCAAUGCUUGAGCGUAAAUAUUGUUUGUGUAUAGCUGUUGGUUGUCAUCAUGUUGAAAUAUCGUUCAGGUUUUGUGUUCAGCACUUAUUGUAAGACGAAAAAAAACGUACACUAUCCUACGAGACACACUGACACGAAGUUAAAUCCACGCGUAUCCUUCCGUAUAAUUAAUAACUUGACGUUGAAUUUAUUGAAUUCAUGAAAAUCGUAGGACGACGGAUGAAACCCUGUGAAAUACAGAAAUGAGUGGAAAAAAGACUGGUCGGAAAAUGAUUUCAUAGACGGAUGGGCUCGAAUUCCUAUGUGCAUUGCACUCGAAUCAUCAUUUUAUCUCGUCACAAGCAAAAAAAAUCGUUUUAUCGUUUUUUUCCUCCUUUCUACCGAAUGAAAAAUGUAAAUUGAUCCGCUCGUGAAUUAACUUCAUUUUGACGAAUAAGAUGCAGCGGCAAAUUCAUGAGAAUAACGUCGCGGGGAGGGACGUUGUGAAAUUUAGAUUCGAGUUCGAUCGUGAUCGGGGCGAAAAUACAAAUGAACACGCUUUUACGGGGCUAAAGACAACGAGAGUUACGAAUAAAUUGGGCGAUAUUUCCACGACAGUGACCUUGAAGUACGAAGGACAAAGAAGUUUUUUUUCGGCGUGCGUGAGAGGUUAUGAACACGUGACACAUGGGCGAAUAAAUAUCUCGUGCAACUGCAUUUUAUCAGAGGAUCAAUGUUGGCGAACCGAAGGCAAACACUUUUUCGCGAUAAACAGGGAGGGGGGGGGGAGGGGCGAAGGUAAGAUCUUAUCAUAUCUUGAUAAUGGCUUAAAUUAGAAAAAUCGAACAAACCAAAAGAGCGACGAGAAAGCGACAAAAAAAAAACAAAUAAACGUUUAAAAUAUGAAAAAAAGUAAUUAAAAAAAAAAAAAAAUAAAAACACACAAAGGAGGAUUUUUUACUCGUGAAAAUAAUGAUCGUAGCGUCUUAACGAGAUAACAAAACAGAAACAUGUAAGUAUUGUGAAAAUUACUAUAAGGUGAUUUCUAAGUAAAUUUUGCAAGUGUACGGAGUUUAGUCACAGGGGGUCAAAUACGAAGAAUAAGACGAAGAUAAAAAAUAAACAUCAUACACGAAAAGAAAAACGUAACAAAAAUAAUAAACACACGAAAUACUGUAAUAGCGAACGAAAAGGGAUUAAAAGAAAAACAAAUAUAUAAAAGACUAAUAAUAUGUAACACACGUUCAGUUUGCAAUUCGCCAAUUGACGCGUCGCCUGUUCUUUGGAAAAUUUCUCCGCCUCAUGAGCGAUGGAAUAAAAAAAAUUUGAUCAAUUCUCUAUGACGAGCAUCGCCCGGUUCAGAGACGAGAGAAAAUGUUCCGGAGGAUUCGGCAUCUCGCUGUGGUAUAACGCUUAAAACCAUUAAAAAAAAAAAAAAAAAAAAAAACAAAAAAAAUUGCAUAUCCUAUUCAAACUUAGUACUUUGAUAAACACGGAAGAAUACAAAAGAAGAACGAUACGGUUGAGAAAUAAAAAGGACUGGCUCGUUGUCGUUUAUUUUUCAUUUUCUUGUUAAUCAACAUCGGCAUACCAAUUAUAUUACACCGUCAGAGUGAUAAAAGAAAAAAUGAAGGCACACCAAGAACGAAGAUAUAAAUAAUGAGAAACGUUGUUCGAAAAAAUUCAAUAACUAUAUACUGAUACCUUUUGAAAUGGAUGCGGAUGAGCAUGAUUCUCAUGAAUGAAUAAACAAAAGAAAUAUAUUUAAAAUACGUAUAUCAUACCGAGCACACAUUUAUUUCAGUAAAAAAAAAAGACAAAUAUUUAAAUUCUAAUAUUCGACAUCCGCAUUGAAAAAAAAAACGCCUCUUGUAAUGUACAUUUAAAGGGGAAAGAGACAAAGAAAAAACAUCCCACCAACGUCAUUAAUAUUAGGAUUCUACAAAAAAUUCAAGCUCAACUAUUUAUUUUGCAGUGUUUUGAACGUUUUUUCAAUUAAGUAUUUAUAAAUUGUUAAUUCUACAUCGGAUUAUUCACUGUAAAAAAUAGAUAUCUCGAAUAUUUAAUUGCGAAUAAAAAAAUAUGAAAACAAAUAUUUACCCGAAAGUUGGUCGUAAUGAAUUUUUCAAGGGAUAUAUAAUUCAAAUGCCUUUUGGAUCGUGUGUGUUGCCUAUCCCAAAUUGUGCAUGAAAUAAAUGAGAGAGGGAGGAUUAAUGCGGUGAAACUUUUAUAAAAUUUGACAGAGCCAAAAAAAAUGACGUAGUAUUUAUAUAUUGCCCACCGAGCGAACAAACAAAAGAGAAAACCCACUUAAAUGUGCAUUACGAAAAAAUCUACGAGCCUGGCGAGGGUGAGUAAAAGAUACCGAAUGAGAAAACAAAAGCGCGACGAAUAUAAACAUUAAUUUUUGCAUCGAAAGAUAAUCGUGGGAAUACGAAACAAUGCCAACAAUUUAUUAAUUAUCAAAUUAAUGAAAAAUACCUUGUAGAAGAGAUCCAAAGUAGCAUAGGCUGACCUUAUACUUGUACACUAAAGAGGAACAAACGAAAAAAAAAAACCAAAAUAGAUAAGACGUGGAGCGAAGAAAAAACAUUUGUCUCGCGUUCGAUUCGUGCACAUACGACACGACGCGCGCGUCCCCACAACACACUACACACGGUCGCGCGCGCAUACACUCAUACAGCCACACUCGAAUUCACUCGGCACACACCACAUACAAACAAAGCAAGUAAGACAUUUUACUUUUCUGACUGGAUGAAUUUGAUGCGCGAGUCAAGCUCGAUUGGUCGAUCCUGAUAACUUACUUCAUUACUACGUUAAAACAAAAAAGAAAACUUAAAAAAGUGAAAACCAAAAGAAAUUGGAAAAAAGUGAAAUAACAACUCGAGUAUCGUUAUGGAGCGAGGAGCGAGAUAUUUGCGGGCUUCGUACAUUUCUAAUUUGUCAAGUGUAUAAGAGAGAUCUAAAAUCCAGCAACUGUAUGCGAGAGAGAGAGAGAGAGAGAUGAUCGUUUCUUAAUUGUUUACCUCGUCGUGCGAGUGUGACAUUAGAGAAUAAUGGCGCGCGUGUGCGCGUAUUAAAAAGAAAAAUAUUAAAUCGAGCGAGUGCAGUUUUUAAUCUCCCGGAACAACAUUGGUGGAAAAUGAAAAAACGAUGAGCAAAACAAAGAAUUUACGAUCAAGUUACGAAUCUAAUAAGCAGUACGAUUAGACGAUGUGCCAGAGAGAAUCAGCGAGAAGCGGAGGUUACUCGAGAAUAACGGAAUCUCAAUAAACGACCAUCCUCGGUGAUAUUCCUGCCGAAAAAGACAGGUCGAUUUUAUGUUUACAAAAAAAAAAGUUAAAGAAAACCAACGGUAUAAAAAAAAAAAAACAAUAAUAGGGAACAAAAGACGCGUUUUUCCUUCUUCGAGACUGUACAUAUUGUAUGCCCGCGAUAAAAGCCCACGCGCGAAAUCGACUUAUCGUACUAUAUUAAUAGUGUAUUGAAAUAAUAGAGUUGAUAAUGAAAAUGAGAAAAUGUAACGAAAAAAAAACAAAAAUGAUGCAAAGAAAAUUAUUAAAUUCACCCUCGGCUUCCCGAUGGCUCCUCGUGGCACGAUUUAAUAUAAAGGAAGAAAAAAAACGUUAGUGACUGUAUCCAGUAUAAUAUACCACAUAAAAGAUACCCCCAAUGCCAGACAUGGCGUGUGACAAUAAAGUGAUUCCAUGAUA
rnacentral:misc_RNA from 1 species